UCGUGAGAUACACCAUAAGGCAAUUUAACAAUCACAGUAAACACCCUGCCUUAUUUGAAGUUGGGCAAAUAACAGAAGCCUACGUUCAGGUGGUUGCUGGGUGGAAUUACCAUUUUGAAUAUUUGAUAAAAGAAACAAAUUGUUCCAAGAAUGAUUUUCCAGAUCUGAGUCCGGCAUGUAGACCCCUUCUUGGAGGU